rnacentral:tRNA from 1 species
GGGCGAUUAGCUCAGCGGGAGAGCGCCCCGCUCACACCGGGGAGGUCACUGGUUCGAACCCAGUAUCGCCCA